AGGUUGUUGAUUUUUUAAAAGCAUUUGUGUCCUCUACUCCUUGAACAUCAGCUCCUUAAGGACAGGAGACCCUGUCUGUCUGAGGAGUUACAGCCUGCCGCCUACUGAAUUCACAUGGUGGAGUCUUGGUAAAGCUGGAGUCUGAACGCAGAAAGUUCUCAAGUUUUCCAUGCCUGCUCAGGAAAAGGAGCAAAGCAUCAAUUGUGCAGGCUGUAAUAUGUAAAACACAAAGAAAUAUGAAAGGAUCCCUCAGGAACUUUAACUUCCUAUAUUGGUGAAAAAUGCUUCAAAGUUAGCAAAAGACCAACUUCUAGAGCCUUUGGAAUAUUUUUGAAGGCAAGAGCUUAUGUGAUAUCAGAUGCUGUAAAUUCUUAGCUCACGUCUACAACAGUAUGCUUUCAAUAAACGUUUUCUC